CUUAAAAUUUUUCCUCAAUUUAACGUAAAAAAAACCGAAAAAGGGUUUCCUGAAAUGAAUAUUUCAAGAGUUUUUUACGUAAUUUUCAAGUGGUUUUGAAGUAAAUUUUAAGUUCUCUUAAAAUUGACGAGUUUUUUUACAACUUUUCUCAACUGUCAUUGCUACUAGGGAUACUGCAUACCUUAAUUGCUAGCAAAUAUUCCAAUUAAAAAGUAAAUCUGAAUAAAAUUCCUGUGUUUAGGGGAAUCACAAUUAGGAAGCUGUUCGUUCGAAGAGCAAGUGUAUCAACAUGAUGAGGAAUGGGAUCCAGACGGCUGUACUCGUUGUCACUGCAACAGAGGAAUCGUAAUCUGCUCUGUAAAAAGUCACUGCAAUAGGGGAGACCAGGAGAGCCAAUCUGAUAAAAAGGAAACUGAGGUUGACAGGAAAGCACUGUCGGAGGAGGAAUUUUAUGAUUCUCAAAAAUUGGCAACAAUUACGGAUUCAUUUCAAGUAAGUGAUUUCCACACAUUGUAAAUGUCCCUAAUAAUGUUACAUUGAGCACAUAAGCAUUUUCCUUCUUAUUCCAACGGGAACCAA
rnacentral:lncRNA from 1 species